CUGAGUUUUUACUGAAAUUUCUGUGUCAGCGCACUAAGCACUUAAAUGUAGUGUUCGAAGUAUAGAAGUGCGCGAUUUGGGACACACCCUUGGUCUAAAUAUAAACUUU